AGCCUGAUGCAGCAACGCCGCGUGAGGGAUGACGGCCUUCGGGUUGUAAACCUCUUUUAGCAGGGAAGAAGCGAAAGUGACGGUACCUGCAGAAAAAGCGCCGGCUAACUACGUGCCAGCAGCCGCGGUAAUACGUAGGGCGCAAGCGUUAUCCGGAAUUAUUGGGCGUAAAGAGCUCGUAGGCGGUUUGUCGCGUCUGCUGUGAAAUCCGGAGGCUCAACCUCCGGCCUGCAGUGGGUACGGGCAGACUAGAGUGCGGUAGGGGAGAUUGGAAUUCCUGGUGUAGCGGUGGAAUGCGCAGAUAUCAGGAGGAACACCGAUGGCGAAGGCAGAUCUCUGGGCCGUAACUGACGCUGAGGAGCGAAAGGGUGGGGAGCAAACAGGCUUAGAUACCCUGGUAGUCCACCCCGUAAACGUUGGGAACUAGUUGUGGGGUCCAUUCCACGGAUUCCGUGACGCAGCUAACGCAUUAAGUUCCCCGCCUGG
rnacentral:rRNA from 1 species